AGUAUAUGACUACCACGAGCGACGCCGCCGCAAACACCACAACACAAGAGCAGCAUGAGGAGUCUAUUACACAUCAUCAUCGACCCAAACUUCGAAUGAUGAUUUGCCUGAUCGACCUGCUCUGCUGCCUGCAAUGUAAGCCUCCUAUAUCCUAGCACGGCAUGUGAUAUAUGAAUUAACAUGGUAAGUGGAUAACAGAGUAAGUACAUAACCUAGAGCGGAAACCUGGUUCGCUUUAAUUUAAAAUUGGUGGUUUCUUACAUCCAAGCCCAUUCUGUAGCUCUAUAACUACAUCAAUUUAGAAAAAUCUUACACUGGAUCCG
rnacentral:rRNA from 1 species